rnacentral:rRNA from 1 species
UACAGAGGGUGCGAGCGUUGUCCGGAAUCACUGGGCGUAAAGGGCGCGUAGGUGGCCUGAUAAGUAGGGGGUGAAAUCUCGAGGCUCAACUUCGAGGCUGCCUCCUAAACUGUCAGGCUUGAGCAGAGUAGAGGCAGGUGGAAUUCCCGGUGUAGCGGUGGAAUGCGUAGAGAUCGGGAAGAACAUCGGUGGCGAAGGCAGCUCACUGGGACGGUACUGACGCUGAGACGCGAAAGCGUGGGGAGCAAACAGG